rnacentral:rRNA from 1 species
UACAGAGGGGGCAAGCGUUGUUCGGAAUACUGGGCGUAAAGGGCGCGUAGGCGGCCUGCUAAGUCGAACGUGAAAUCCCCGGGCUCAACCCGGGAACUGCGUCCGAUACUGGCAGGCUUGAAUUCCGGGAGAGGGAUGCGAAUUCCAGGUGUAGCGGUGAAAUGCGUAGAUAUCUGGAGGAACACCGGUGGCGAAGGCGGUCUGCUGGGCAGUUGCUGACACUGAGGCGCGACAGCGUGGGGAGCAAACAGGG